UAGACACCUGGAUUCCACUUCUCUUUAUAGAACCACCUGUAGCACUUUACAUCUGCACAACAUUAAUAGCACUUUCGUCUCUGCAAUUCUCUUACCUCUGCUGCAAUUUUCCUUCGCUACUCCAUCCCUGCUUUGGUGAGUUCUUCAACUUUCUUCUAUGCAUCUUUUUGUUCUUCAGUCAUUCAAUGUCAGAUCUAUAUGUUUUGUUGGUUGCUUCUCUUUAUUCGUCACUCUUUUAAACUGUUAUUUUUUUGAUGGCCUUGAUGCCGUAAAAAAGGUAGGUUGUGGGUUUUUUCUCUUCCAAUUUCUGCAACGAAAUUCAUGCAUGUGUUGGUUUUUGAUAAUUUGAGUUUGUCGUAGGUAUCGUAAGCUCAAGAAAGCAAAAAUAAAGAAGCCAGAUUUACCAUCAAAGGGUUCAAUUAAGAAGUUUACAGUUCUUUGUUGGUGGUCUCAAUUAUUGGAAAACAUCAGUUUACUAUCUUUAAUCAGGCUUUAUUUGCUCUAAUUUGAUUAUGUGAAUUAAGUAUGUUUUCUUGCAAUUUCACGAAGGUUCUUUCAUCAGUAUAUUAUGCUUAUACUGUAUAUUUGCCUUUGUUCUUUAAUGAGUUGUUCCCAUUAAUUUCUUUAGCAGAAUAGAUCAAUAGUUCUAUUGUUGCAUUUCAAAAUUGGCAACAUUUUUAAAUAAUGGUUUUCUUCUUCCUUUUUGUUUUUGCUUUAGGUAAAGCUUUUAAUUAGAUAUUAAAAUAACCUAAUAUAGUUUCGAGUCCUCCCUUCUCCUUCUCCAUACUACUUCACAUCUCAUACUGAAACGGUAACACUAAACAUUGAUGUACUAGAAAUGACUUUAGGAUUUCAUGCAAAUAUUUCUUAUAUUUGCCUAUUUUGGCUCUCUAUGCUUGCUUUGUCAAGAUAAAUAAAAAAUAUAUAUGUAAUGUAUUAUGAUAUAACAAUAUGAAAUUAUGCGGGGAUGCUGGUUUUUGAAAGCUGAUGUUUUGGAUGAUCCCACUUUUUUUAAUAGGAAAUUUAUGUAUGUGAACUUCUCAUGGGAGACUUAGUGGGUCAACUUAAUGACUACUGCUGUGGUACUUUAUUCAUGGUGUUACCGGAGGAAAGAACCAAAGCCUGUUUCAGAGCUAACAUCUGCUUAUGGCAGGAAAGGUUAAGUUUAAUUUAACUAUGACAGGACAGGUAAAGUUUAAUGCAGAUAGAUCAUGCAGGCAGAUCUGUUGCUAUUGGUGGCCUAAUUACAUUGUGUGGAAAUAUAUGGGAAAUAGAACUAAAGGGGAAAAAAAGGUUGACAAUUCAUAAUUCCUUGGAUAUAUAACAAUUCCUCUGGUUGGCUACAUGAUUUUGUUAGAAUUUAGUAAGUGCAGUUCAUAUUAGCAAUUAGUAAUCCUUAACUGCUAUCCUUUUGGUUCUGUUUUUAUAGUACAGUACUUGGUAUUUUUAAUGAGCUCCAUUAUAGCCGCGAUAUACGUAUUUCUAAGAAGAGAGCUUGUUAUCUUCAAAUCUAUAUUACUUUCUUAGGGAGAUAAAUAAAUGAAAAUUUUCAUAUAGCUGGUUACAUUUUGAUCAUUCCGCGAUAGCACAAUCAUUUCUUUUUUUAUUUUUUCCUUUUCAGUGAAAAUGCCUUUGUUACUAGAAGUAUAGUGGUUGAACAGGAAAAUACAUAAAUAAGGAUAUAGAGAUCAUUCUCUCUGUCAAGUUUGAGUUGUGUGAGUGUUCAUUUAUUUCAAUAUUUUUGUUGGAUAUGAAAAUAAAAAAAAUUAUCUUAUUUCUGCUAUGCAUUGGAUACUGACAAGAGAAAACCAAGGAGAUUAGAUCAUAUAUAGCUGGACAACCCUCUCACUAUAACAAUAGUAUUGGCAUAUAGUAGAUCUUUUUUGACAAGGAAAGAAAUAUUUUAAUGCGUAAGAUAGAGACCUUGAAACUUUAGUUUCUUUUUUGGGUAUCCUUCAUUUUUGAUUGCCUCAUUGUCUUAAGUAAUUAAAGGGAGGAAUUUUAUCGUUGCUUUAUCUAUAUAGUAUUUUUAUAUUUUACACAAUACAUUAAUUCAAGAAAAUCAGAGAUCUGAUAUUCAUUUAGUGAUUUUAGCAGGAAACUAAGGAAGACAUGAUCCAUAGAAUGUUACUAUUGCCUCUCUAGAACAAUAUAAAUAUAUUAAACUUGAAUGAUUUAUUUUCAACUAGACUAUAACAAUAUUGAGCAUAAAAUAAUAUUUUGAAUCAAAGCCUAAGUACUUACAAACUUAAGUUAAAUUUAAUGGUUAUGGGAUUUUAAGCAUUUUCCUUCUUUUAUAUACUUGGGUGAGUGGAGUGACAUCUUGCUUAUAGAGUUUGAAGUAAAUGUUUGCUCCUUUAUUCUCCUGUGUCAUCAUUUUCCUUCACUCCAGUACUAAUAUGAAGAGACGAAGCGACCAACAGCAAUGCAAAAAUAGAAACAACAUGAAAAGUCAAAGAUGUAUCACUUCUCACAAUUGCUAGAUAAAAAGUUAUUGGCUACUGAUAUUUGUUAAUAUAUGUAUUAAAUUUUAUUUUUCGCAUAGGAAUCUAGAUUGUUGUUGAUUAUUCGAAAUAGAAAUUGGUAGCUUUGCCUUCAAGUUAUCUGAGUCUCGAACUCUUCCUACUUGCCCAAAGCUAAAUGACACUUCGAAGUACCAAAGGAGAAAAGAGAGUUGUAGAGAGUAGGGAAGGAGAGAGAGAAUUAGAGGAGUACAUGGAAAGUGAGAAUUAAGAAGCAUAAUGAUGUUAUACUGCAGUAUGUAUCUAACUGAUACAUAAAGGGAGAGAGCAACUACUAAAGCUUUUCUCAAAAAUCACGACACCAAUCCAUUAAAAGUCUAUAAACUUUUUCAAAAUAAGCAUCUUCUGUACGUGGACUACUUGAAAAUCUUAUAGUUGUCCCAAUAUAUUAAAGCAAAUUAAACUCUACUCUUAGAAAUUCUGGAGACAUUGUUGGUUUAUUUUCAUAGAAGUUAUCUAUAAUGAGGCACAUCCAUAAAAAGCACACUUGAAAAAUUAAAACUAACAGUAGUAUAGUACUUUCUGACAAUAAUGCUUAGAAAAUAUAGACAACAAACAAGCCAAAUAUAUAAAAGGCUUGACUGUGAUGAAUUGAUUUGGCAGUAACAACUUUACUUUAACCCAUAAAUUAAUCUCUAUUUGGGUAAUACAUGUCAACAUCAUGAGAGAAUACAACAAAAUGUGGAGAUUGAGUACCUUGGCAUUUGGAACUAAUGCCAGCUUCAGCUAAAUAAAUGAAGAAUGCGGCUUGGUGUUCUGCAAUUGAUUUUGUUGGAGAAGCAAAACGAUUAUCAGGAUGUGAAAGCUCAAAUCUUUAGGCUCCCUUUGUGUGUGCCCUCCGUUGGUAAAUUUUGAAUGUGUUGGCGAACUGAGUAGACCAAAUAAAGCUUCACUUCUGUAGUGGUUAAUUCUCUCACCUCAACGUUGUGUGAAGUUGCAAUGUUCCUGCUUUGUUUAACGAGACCACAGCUGGCUGACAUAUUCUUGUGUUGCUCAAAUUUUUGUGUCUCACUGGUCACAUUUUGAUUCCUUUUUCUGUCUUCUUUAUUUCUUAGGAGUUCCACUGCAAGUUUUGCUGAUUUUGUAAAGAUUGUUUCCAUGUAUUGAGAUGUUUUGCAAUUGAUGUGUUGUGAGUUUUUUAAGCAUUUGUAUAUUGUAUUCUUUACAUUUUUAUAUCAAUCAAACUCAGCU
rnacentral:lncRNA from 1 species